GCGAAGAGAGAAACAGGGUAAGAGAGAGAGUUGUAUACUGUUACAAUUUCUAAAGAGUAAUACAAAAGUUAUUAAGUUAAGAAAGGCUUUGUAAAGUCAACAUAUCAUUCACCCAUGUAUGACCAUGUAUGAAACUUGAACUAGUUGUUCAAAGAUAGUGGUUUUCCUUCUAAGGGCAUCGCAAAUCGUGUGUGGUGGGAGGUGCUAGAAGUUGUGAAAUUGAGUUCUGCUAGAGAUGAUUUGGUGACAUUUUUAAUUGAGUUCUGCUAGAGCCGACAAUAUGUGAAAGUGUCCACUCGAUCCUAUCUAUAAUCUCAAUCGUUAACUUUCUCUCGAUCGUCUGUUCUUUAAUGAUCAUGAUCUUCCACAUUAUUGAGAAUGAUUUCCAAACCCAGUUCACACCCCUUUAAUUAUGCGACUUCCUGAUAUAUAUUUUCUGAGAUUUCUGUUAAAUAUGUCAAUUGAUAACCUUCUCGGUGGUUUUAACAUACUACAUUUGUUGGUGUUACGUGUUUUUAUUGUAAAAUUACUCAACACUUGUUUCCUUAAAAGUAUAAACUCAACAGGCUUCCUAUAGUUUCGCUAAGCUAUUCUUGAAUUCUUUCUUUCGUCUCUGUGGGUUUUUAACAAGGACAAGAUAUAAUACUACAACAUAUGCAUUGAAUUAAUGCGUCUUAUUUAAUUGUA
rnacentral:lncRNA from 1 species